rnacentral:rRNA from 1 species
UGGGGAAUAUUGCACAAUGGGCGCAAGCCUGAUGCAGCCAUGCCGCGUGUAUGAAGAAGGCCUUCGGGUUGUAAAGUACUUUCAGCGGGGAGGAAGGGAGUAAAGUUAAUACCUUUGCUCAUUGACGUUACCCGCAGAAGAAGCACCGGCUAACUCCGUGCCAGCAGCCGCGGUAAUACGGAGGGUGCAAGCGUUAAUCGGAAUUACUGGGCGUAAAGCGCACGCAGGCGGUUUGUUAAGUCAGAUGUGAAAUCCCCGGGCUCAACCUGGGAACUGCAUCUGAUACUGGCAAGCUUGAGUCUCGUAGAGGGGGGUAGAAUUCCAGGUGUAGCGGUGAAAUGCGUAGAGAUCUGGAGGAAUUCCGGUGGCGAAGGCGGCCCCCUGGACGAAGACUGACGCUCAGGUGCGAAAGCGUGGGGAGCAAACA